rnacentral:rRNA from 1 species
CGUGUAGGCGGCCAGACAGGUCCGUUGUGAAAACUAGAGGCUUAACCUCUAGACGUCGAUGGAAACCGUUUGGCUAGAGUCCGGAAGAGGAGAAUGGAAUUCCUGGUGUAGCGGUGAAAUGCGCAGAUAUCAGGAAGAACACCCGUGGCUAAGGCGGUUCUCUAGUACGGUACUGACGCUGAGACGCGAAAGCGUGGGGAGCGAACAGGAUUAGAUACCCUGGUAGUCCACGCCGUAAACGAUGGGUGCUAGGUGUGGGGGGUGUCGACUCCCCCCGUGCCGAAGCUAACGCAUUAAGCACCCCGCCUGGGGAGUACGGCCGCAAGGCUAAA